GGCGGACGGGUGAGUAACGCGUAAGAACUUGCCCUUUAGACUGGGAUAACAGAGGGAAACUUCUGAUAAUACUGGAUAAGUUAGUAUAUCGCAUGAUAUGCAAAUGAAAGCUACGGCACUAAAGGAGAGCUUUGCGUCCUAUUAGCUAGUUGGUAAGGUAAGAGCUUACCAAGGCGAUGAUAGGUAGCCGGCCUGAGAGGGUGGACGGCCACAAGGGGACUGAGAUACGGCCCUUACUCCUACGGGGGCAGCAGCC
rnacentral:rRNA from 1 species